GAGAGGAGUGAGCCUUUCCUUGGUCACCUCUUCUGUAACCCCAAACACACGAGCUUCCACAAGCCAUGACACCUCCGUGCCUGUUCUCUGGGGUGCUGAUGUAUGAGCCACGCAGGAUGAAGGAUAUGUCUUUUACUACAAAGAACUUAGAAGUCACACAAGCCUCUACUGUGCACCUGUACAUAGAUAUUUUAAGAGUAUAACUUCACCAAAUUUGGCAAUUCAAACAAAGCAGAAUGUACCAUAGCUCAGCCACAAAGAUAACUCUCUGCCACAAGUUUCACAUCCCUCUGUCAGUGCACAGAGGCACCAGGACCUCAAACCAGCUCAGCACUGUCCCAAACUCGGGACAACGGCGCUGCGUGCGACAUGGCAGCUCCUGAGACGUAUGGAAACUGUCAUGGGCAGUGAAGAAGGCCCUUGCAAGUAGACCUUUCCAUGUCUAAUGUAAUAUUACCCCAGCAUCCAUCCCUGAGGAAUGAAGUUUCCCUGCAAGCAUUUUUCGAGAGACUUAUGAUCAACUAAAUUUUCUUUGCUGAGCAGCAAUUCCUGGAAAAUCCUGCAACGUAUUCAAAGACUUUCCCCCUGCUUUUGGAGAAUUAGCUCUGGGCAAAAUGAUAUAGUCUAUUGAGGCCAUAUCUGACCCAGAAAGUAUUAACUGAAGAAUGUGCAGGACAGCUGCUUAUCGGAAAGAAAAGACAUGCAGUGCAGGAGAAUGACAUGUAGAGCUACUCGAGUCAGUUCUGAAUGACUGUCAGCUCUCCAGAGCCAGCCAAGCCCGGGAAGCAGAUAGGACACUCUGCCAGAGCCCGUGCACAUCCGUAAUGGAGCAGGCUCGGGUAUCUCCAGCACAGGACUGCACCAUGAGGCGAGGAGAUAGUU